AUCUUUUCUCACUCAUACAUAUUUAUACACUAAGCUAUGUAAUAGUACUCCAUUAACUUUUAAAAAAAAUCAAAUUAAAAAAUAUAUAGAUAAAACUGCAUUAAAUGCAUAAUAAAAAAUUAUAUUUAAUAAUAUUAAGUAAUUAUAAAAUUCAAAGAUUUCAUAAAAAUAAGAGAUUGAUUUUAUAAGCUAAAUUUUAUUGAUGGAUAGCAAUGUAGCACAAGAUCUCUUCUGCAAAUCAUUCCCUAAAUUAACACACAAUUAAACAGUUAUAAAGAAAAACUAUUAUGAAAACAAAGUAACACAACACAUGAAGAAAAAUCAAUUAGCAUCAACAAAACAAUCCUUGUAACAGACAAAACAAACAUACCAUAUAUAAAAAUUGAAACAAAUUUAUUCUUACACUUCUGAAGCAAUAUGACAAGAAGUUUAUGUGAUUAUGCAUAAAUUUAUCCGCAUAUGUCCGCAUAUGUCUGUCAGGGCAAAAUUAUGCAUAAUUUCUUAAAUUCUAAAAACUCAAUCCAUGGUUAGCCAACUUCUGUUUUGUGAUGGAGUUUAUAUGCUCAAUCAUUUCGGUUGUAAGAUGAUUCUUCCAAUCUCCAAUUUGACCAAGACGGAAAAAAUAUUUGUUUUCAACGUUAAAAGACACUUUUUCAGUCUUGUUAACUUCCAAGUUACUCAACUUAUCAAAACUACACAAAUUUAAAAUACCAUCAACCACACCUUUGGAUUCUUCUUCUUGAGAAAAUGGACACUCCAAAAACUUAGCAAUUUCUUUCAAAUAAAAAUAUGGCUUCAUUUUCAUUUCUUCAUAUUUCAAGAACAUUACCUUGUUUGAACUUUCCAAGCUUUUCUUCCAAUAUCCUAAUACAUGCUCCCAAAAAGGUCCAAAAGGACACACUCCUCGACAAAAACACUCAAAAGCCUCUUCUAAUGGAAGUGUUCCAUUCCUUUUUGAUCUAACAUUGCUUAUGAAAUGCCAAAAUGAAACAAAAACAUCUUUAGGAUCUCUACAUAGAUACAAAACUUUGCAAGUUGAGUCUUUCACAGAUUUUGGUAAUGAUUCAUAAGAUAGAUGAGUGGAGAAUAUUCUUGGAGAAGAUAUUGUUUUGAGAUCAGGAACAAAAUCUUUGUUGCAGUAAAGGUCUACCUCCCAAAAGGGAACAAGUUCGUGUGGAUUUUUUGUGAGCAAAGGAUGAUUGCUAUGAAUAUUUGGAUAUUUGUUGCGGUUUAUCAAAGCAAAAGACAAUGCUUUGAGCCAAGUGGUACCUGCUUUAGGAGAAGUGACUAAGAGAAUAUCAGUAUCAAAGGCUUGAAAGUGCUUUUGACAAGAUAUAACAGCUUGAAGAAACUCUGGAGCAAACCAAAAUCCUUGAUAUUGAUGUAAAUGGAUUCCAUUCCAACAUUUUUCCGAUGGCAAUGUGGUUAACAAUUCCUCACAUUCUUCGUCUAAGUCAUAUUCUUGCAUGUAUUUUGGUACAAGAGUUUUUUCACUUAAUUUUUCCAUGGUGAAUAGUAUAACUCAGGUGAUAAUAUUGUGGGUUGAAAUCAAGAUACAAUUGUUUAUAUAUAUAUAAAUAUAUAUAUAUAGAGAGAGAGAGAGAGAGAUAUAUAUUUUUAUUUAUUGUAUAUAAAAAAAUCAUCUUUUGUGUUGUAAGAUUUGUUGUAUUGUAAUUUUUGUGUGCUGGUGAAGGAAAACAAUAAAAAAGGUAUAUAAAGGGAAAAACAUAAUUUGUUUGAGAAAGUUUGUUUCUCCUCUCACCGUGAAUUUGCACAAGAGAGGAUAAAAAACUAAAAAAAAAAUGAAAAAAGAAAGAUUAAAAUAAACUUUUUUAACAAUUAUAUUUUAAUAAAAAAUAUAUAUAUAUAGAACUUUUGCAUAUUAAUUAUUGGUCAUAAUACUAAGAAGACUCAAACAUAAAUAAGUAUAUGAAAAUGUCCUAUGUAGAGAACUUGGAUUCUGCCAAGAAUAUCCUUGACAUGAGAAUUAUUCAUUAAAAUAAAAAUGAUAAAUUUUUCAAUUUUUUCAAUUUAAAUAAUUAAUAUUUUAAAUUAUUUAUCAAAAUAAUCAUGUUUUAAAUUAAAAAAAAUUAUAUCAAAGAGAAUGUGUCAUUGAUAAUGGCGCACGCACUAAAAAAAUACAUUUAGGCGUCGUAGCCCCUAACACAUGUACUACCAAUGUCUCAAUAAGACUGACACAUGCACUAUUGACUUAAUACACACGAAUCAUUAGUUAGGGCGUUGCAAAAAUGAAAUAAAAAUGACACAUAAAUAUUAAAAAACCAAUAAACAUUACUGUCAAUAGUGUGAUGUUGUCUAUGACCUGCUUCGUCUUCCACCUAUAACCCUCUAAUAACUUCGAUUACAAGUAAACCAAACAAGUGGCCCCCUAAUUGCACUCAUGGAUCCGCUCGAAGUACCGUAGGUAAACAACAUCUGUAUAAGGGACACUCUUUUCCAAAAAAAAAAGUUGUGCCAACCAAAUAUAACAGGUAUGCUCUCAUAGCGUACGCUCUAUGGAGCCCUACCAGAUUGUCAUCACAUCUAGCCUCCUCAACUCUAAGGAUCUCAAUAUAUAUGGUGUUCCCGUCUAAGGGUGAUGUCGCCUGGGCGGAAUCCCCACAGAACUAAAGGGCUCACCCUAUAGAUUGAUGACAUGUAUAGAUACCGUUAUCUCCCAUUAAUUAGAGGGAAAUGAGUUCCCCACGAUUCCCUGAAGAAUAAGUAGUCUACAAUUCUCCCUAGUUGUAAGGGAGCGGUUCCCCCAUGUGAGCAGGUACUCUAAACCAUCACAAAACACCAUCGUAGAUGACUUCUCGUUUCCGUGGGUAAGCCCUAACCAUUAUACAACUUAAUAUAUCUACAAAGAUCUCUGAGUUUUCAUGUCCUUUUAGAAGAAACAUGCACACACAUACACAAAAUUUAAUUCAUUUUAAAUUCCUUUAAAUAAUUAUUUUCUCUAAUUAAAAUGUUUCAUUAAAAUAAACUCUUACUUUAUUUAUAAUUUUCUCUUCUGAUUUGAUUUGUCUAUUUAUAAAAUGUACAUGUUUGUUUUUAAUGAAUAAGCAAGUCGCACUAGCAUGUUUGGGAUCAGACCACAACUGCCUUUUAUAGUACAUGUUUGGGACUUUCUCAUAAUUGGUAAUAAGUAGCAUGUGCCAUUAGGGCCCACAUUACUAGACCAAUAUAAUUGUUUACAUGACAAUAAUUGGUAAUCAAUUUUUUUUUUUCACUUUUGUUUUACAAUAAAAUUUUCAAGUGUUUUUUCUCUUCUUCAUACAUUCAACGUCCAAAAUCUAAAAAUCUUGUAUCCUAAUAUACUUAAUAUUUUUCUUUGUUAACUCUCAAUCUCAUAAAUCAAAAUUAUCACCAUGCUUUCAAUUUCACAGGGAUGUCUUUUGUUUUCAAAAAUAACUUUCAUAAAUUUUGAUAAACAAACAUAGGAUAGGAUGAUGUUGCAAAUAUAUAUUAUUUUUUUCCUCUUCAUCCAAUUUUUACAAAUCAGAUAAAAAAAUAGUUUACUUUUGAGAAAUACUCAUACCUUAAAUUUUGAAAUUUGAUAUUUAUAAAUCUAAACUUUUAGAUUUGAGUUUUUAAAAAUCUCAUAUGCACAAAGAUCCAACACACAUGCAUGUAUUUUUUAAUUUCAGAUCUAUAAAUUAAUUUAUUUUUAACUUUAGAUAUGUAAAACUGUUAACAUUUGAUAAGGAUUUUUUUAAUUUCAAAUCUGUAAUAUUUAGAAAGAUGGUAAUUUUUUCAAUGAAUUUAGGGUUGAAAUUCAAAUGUGUUUUCAAUUUCAGAUAUUUUAUGAAGAAUAUGGAUGGAAUUUUCGUGGUCAAAAUAAUUCAUUUUUAAUGGAUUUAGAGAUUAUUUUCAUAUUUAAAACACAUCAUAUAUAUAUAUAUAUAUAUAUAUAUAUAUAUAUAUAUAUAUAUUUUUUUUUUUCUUUUUUCAAAUUUAGAGAAUAACAUUGAAAUUUGAGUUUUUUAAAUAUGAUUUAAUAAUUUAAUAAUAGAUAUAAGUUUGGAAUCUAGAUUUAAUAAUUUCUUAUAUUAUUCAAUGUAAUUUAGAUGAAGAAGAUGAAAAUGAUUGAAUAUUUUUGAAGAUGAAAAAGAUGAAUAUUUAAAAAUGAAAAGAUGAUUUGAAUCAGUGGAUUCACCACCACCUUGUGCCUUAUGCGAUAAUAUCACACCGUCUACCUAUUGAUACCAUAAAAGAAAGUUGUUUUUUUUGAGAUUGAUUGAAAGCUUCGAUGCAAACAUGUUACCCGAGAUGGAUGCACCAUUGUUGAUGCAGAAACAUGUGAAGAUCUUACCACAUAUUAUGUAUCUUCCAUGUUUCUCUCUUGAAUCGCCAUGAAAGCUUAUCUAAAGCUUAGAUUGAUGAACGAAUAUGCACAAAUUGAACAACUUCUCUAAAACUUGAAAUUGAUACCCGAUACACCACACACACAAGUGCGUUGUAGCACGCUGAUGCAGAAGUGUGGAUCAAGAAAGAAGAUGAUUGAAUAGUGCGGAAGAACAAUCCGUUAGUCGACUUAUAUUAUAUUAAAGAUUGAAAUCAUCUUGAAUUUUCCAUUCAACUUUGUUCAUCAUUCUUGUUUUCUAAUAAAGCUUGCAUGAAGUAUAUAUACCAUCCAUGCCAGUGUUGAGGUUGUUACACUUUCGAAGUUAGUUAGAGUUCAUAAAUAACUCUCAAACUUUUCUCACUCAUACUUACUUACUUAUACACUAAGCUAUGUAAUACUAUUCCAUUAACUUUUUUUUUUUAUUUUUUUUUUUAUAAAAAAAAUCACAUUAAAAAUUAUAUAGAUGAAAAUGUACUUAAAUGCAUAAGUAAGAAUUAUAUUUUUAAUAAUAUCAAGUAAUUAAAAAAUUCAAAGAUUUUAUAAAAUACGAGAUUGAUUUUAUAAGCAAAAUUUUAUUAAUGGAGAACAAUCUAGCACUAGAUCUCUUACACAAAUCAUUCCCUAAAUUAACACACAAUUACGAAAUCAUAAAGAAAAACUAUUAUCAAAACAAAGUAAUACAACACAUGAAGAAAAACCAAGUAGCAUCAACAAAACAAACAUACCAUCUAUAAAAAAAAUGAAAGAAAUUUAUUCUUUCACGUCUAAAGCAAUAUGACAAGAAGUUAAUGUUAUUAUGCAUAAAAUUAUCCUCAUAUGUCUGCCGGAGGAAAAUUAUGCAUAAUUUCUUAAAUUCUAAAAACUCAAUUCAUGUUUAACCAACUUUUUUUCUGUGAUGGAGUUUAUAUGCUCAAUCAUUUCGGUUGUAAGAUGAUUCUUCCAAUCUCCAAUUUGACCUAGACGAAAAAAAUAUUUGUUUUCAACAUCAAAAGACACUUUUUCAGUCUUGUUAACUUCCAAGUUACUCAACUUAUCAAAACUACACAAAUUUAAAAUAUCAUCAACCACACCUUUGGAUUCUUCUUCUUGAGAAAAUGGACACUCCAAAAACUUAGCAAUUUCCUUCAAAUAAAAAUAUGGCUUCAUUUUCAUCUCUUCAUAUUUCAAGAACAUUACCUUCUUUGAACUUUCCAAACUUUUCUUCCAAUAUCCUAAUACAUGCUCCCAAAAAGGUCCAAAAGGACACACUCCUCUACAAAAGCUCUCAAAAGCCUCUUCUAAUGAAAGUGUUUCACUACUUUUUGUUUUAAGCUUGUUAAUGAAAUGCCAAAAUGAAACA
rnacentral:lncRNA from 1 species